CCUACGGGCGGCAGCAGUGGGGAAUAUUGGGCAAUGGGCGCAAGCCUGACCCAGCAACGCCGCGUGAGGGAAGAAGGCUUUCGGGUUGUAAACUUCUUUUCUCAGGGACGAAGCCAGUGACUGUACCUGAGGAAUAAGCCACUGCUAACUACGUACCAGCAGCCGCGGUAAUACGUAGGUGGCAAGCGUUAUCCGGGUUUACUGGGUGUAAAGGGCGUGUAGGCGGGGACGCAAGUCAGAUGUGAAAACCACGGGCUCAACCUGUGGCCUGCAUUUGAAACUGUGUUUCUUGAGUGCGGGAGAGGAAGACGGAAUUCCUGGUGUAGCGGUGAAAUGCGUAGAUAUUAGGAGGAACACCAGUGGCGAAGGCG
rnacentral:rRNA from 1 species